GUUGCUGUUGCUGUUGCUGUACCUGUACCUGCACCUGAUUAGUCUUGCUCUUCCCAUCCGUGGCUAUAGAGCAAUGCAACUGCUGACCCUCAAACACUUUGUGUGGUUCCUCCAGUGCCCUUUUAGCUCCCUCCACCGUCUUAUAAACGAACAAAGCAAACCCUCUCGACCUUCCCGUUUCUUUAUCAAAACCUGUCGGCCCAGACUCAAUUUCUCCAAACUUAGCAAAGAAAGCUUUAAACUUUUCUUUAUCAAUACUCCCUUGCACAUUACCCACAUAUAUCUUCCUAGCUCCAACAUCCUGAUUUUUAGCUCCGUUAACGGGCCCGACAGACGCCAAUUGGCAGUUGGCAAUCCGAUUAUUAAUAUUCUUCUUGGGAUCUUUUAACGCCAUAGCUGCACCUUUUCUCGUCUUGAACAAAACGAAACCGUACCCUUUAGCUUUCCCAGUGACUUUGUCCAUUACAACGUUGCAAUCCUCGAUUUCUCCAAAGGGUUCGAAUGCGGAGAGGAGUUUUUCACGCGUGAUGUCCCAGGUAAAACCAUGGACGAAGAUUUUCCUGUGGGACGCCUCCCGGUCCGCGUGUUCAUUGAUGAGGGGAUAAAGAGAGGGGUAUUUGGCAGCCGCGAGGGAGAGGAGUUCGAUGAGCUGGUCUUUGGUGUAGGGUUCAAGGAGAGUUGGGAGAUCAAUGGAGUCAGAAUCAAAAUUGGAAUUCUCAUCGGAAGCAGAAUCAGAAUCAGUGUGGGUGGUUUUGGGAGGAGGAGUUGGGAGGUGAGCUUUUAUAAUCUUUCGUUUCUUGAGUUUGGGUUUCUGGAGGGGAUUUUGAUCGGCGAUAAUAUCUGACUUUUUGAUGAGAACGGUUUUUUGGGUUUUCACCAUUGGAGAGGGAGAGAGAAUCGCGCGCGACAGAGAAGGUGUGCUGCUCCUGGGUACUGUAACUGUGUAAGCUCAGACCAGUUUUACUUGGCC
rnacentral:misc_RNA from 1 species